CAGUGGGCAGACAUGGUAGAUGAGGUAGUGUGCAGUGGGCAGACAUGGUAGAUGAGGUAGUGUGCAGUGGGCAGACAUGGUAGAUAAGGGAGUGUGCAGUGGGCAGACAUGGUAGAUGAGGGAGUGUGCAGUGGCAGAUGUGAUAGAUGAGGGAGUGUGCAGUGGUAAAUGAGGUAGUGUGCAGUGGGCAGACAUGGUAGAUGAGGUAGUGUGCAGUGGGCAGACAUGGUAGAUGAGGUAGUGUGCAGAGGGCAGACAUGGUAGAUAAGGGAGUGUGCAGUGGUAGAUGAGGUAGUGUCCAGUGGGCAGACAUGGUAGAUGAGGGAGUGUGCAGUGGUAGAUGAGGGAGUGUGCAGUGGUAGAUGUGAUAGAUGAGGGAGUGGGCAGUGGCAUAUGUGAUAGAUGAAGGAGUGUGCAGUGGGAGAUGAGGGAGUGUGCAGUGGG
ensembl:lncRNA